UAAACGGUUAAUAAGACAGGUGAGACAACAGGCAAUACGAGAAGCAGUCUGUUGUGCUUGCAGGAGAAUUUGAUCUACAGACGCAUCAGAAACUCAGGCAUCCAUCUGAACAUUGAUCAUCAUGUCACUCACCAAGAUUCUUAAACAUGAGGACAUUAAGAAGGCAGUCGACACCUUUAAAGCUGUAGGCUCGUUCAAGCAUAAGGAGUUCUUCAAGAUAUGUGGCUUGUCCUCAAAG